rnacentral:rRNA from 1 species
UACGUAGGGGGCUAGCGUUGUCCGGAUUUAUUGGGCGUAAAGAGCGUGUAGGCGGCCAGAUAGGUCUGCUGUGAAAACUCGAGGCUCAACCUCGAGCUGUCGGCGGAAACCAUUUGGCUAGAGUCCGGAAGAGGAAAGUGGAAUUCCUGGUGUAGCGGUGAAAUGCGCAGAUAUCAGGAAGAACACCCGUGGCGAAGGCGGGUCUCUGGGCCGAUACUGACGCUGAGGAGCGAAAGCGUGGGGAGCGAACAGG